rnacentral:rRNA from 1 species
AGAGUUUGAUCAUGGCUCAGAUUGAACGCUGGCGGCAGGCCUAACACAUGCAAGUCGAGCGGUAGCACAGAGAGCUUGCUCUCGGGUGACGAGCGGCGGACGGGUGAGUAAUGUCUGGGAAACUGCCUGAUGGAGGGGGAUAACUACUGGAAACGGUAGCUAAUACCGCAUAACGUCGCAAGACCAAAGAGGGGGACCUUCGGGCCUCUUGCCAUCGGAUGUGCCCAGAUGGGAUUAGCUAGUAGGUGGGGUAACGGCUCACCUAGGCGACGAUCCCUAGCUGGUCUGAGAGGAUGACCAGCCACACUGGAACUGAGACACGGUCCAGACUCCUACGGGAGGCAGCAGUGGGGAAUAUUGCACAAUGGGCGCAAGCCUGAUGCAGCCAUGCCGCGUGUGUGAAGAAGGCCUUCGGGUUGUAAAGCACUUUCAGCGGGGAGGAAGGCGGUGAGGUUAAUAACCUCGUCGAUUGACGUUACCCGCAGAAGAAGCACCGGCUAACUCCGUGCCAGCAGCCGCGGUAAUACGGAGGGUGCAAGCGUUGUCCGGAAUCAUUGGGCGUAAAGAGUUCGUAGGUGGUUUGUUAAGUUUGGUGUUAAAUGCAGAGGCUCAACUUCUGUUCGGCAUCGGAUACUGGCAGACUAGAAUGCGGUAGAGGUAAAGGGAAUUCCUGGUGUAGCGGUGAAAUGCGUAGAUAUCAGGAGGAACAUCGGUGGCGUAAGCGCUUUACUGGGCCGUAAUUGACACUGAGGAACGAAAGCCAGGGUAGCAAAUGGGAUUAGAUACCCCAGUAGUCCUGGCCGUAAACGAUGGAUACUAGGUGUUGCGGGUAUCGACCCCUGCAGUGCCGUAGCAAACGCGUUAAGUAUCCCGCCUGGGGAGUACGCACGCAAGUGUGAAACUCAAAGGAAUUGACGGGGACCCGCACAAGCGGUGGAACAUGUGGUUUAAUUCGAAGCAACGCGAAGAACCUUACCAGGGCUUGACAUCUAACAAACCUUUGUGAAAGCAGAGGGUGCUCUUCGGAGAAUGUUAAGACAGGUGGUGCACGGUUGUCGUCAGCUCGUGUCGUGAGAUGUUGGGUUAAGUCCCGCAACGAGCGCAACCCUCGUCGUUAGUUGGUACUAUCGGUAUACUUAUAGUAACCUCUCUAGCGAGACUGCCGGUGAUAAACCGGAGGAAGGUGAGGACGACGUCAAAUCAUCAUGCCCCUUAUGCUCUGGGCUACACACGUGUUACAAUGGCCGGUACAAUGAGCCGCCAACUCGCGAGAGUGAGCAAAUCUCUAAAAGCCGGUCUCAGUUCGGAUUGCAGUCUGCAACUCGACUGCAUGAAGUCGGAAUCGCUAGUAAACGCAGAUCAGCACGCUGCGUUGAAUACGUUCCCGGGUCUUGUACACACCGCCCGUCACACCAUGGAAGUCGACCACGCCCGAAGUACGUGAGCUAACCGUAAGGAAGCAGCGUCCUAAGGCAGGGUUGGUGACUGGGGUGAAGUCGUAACAAGGUAGCCGUACCGGAAGGUGUGGCUG